UGGUCGGUUGAACUGUCAGUCAAGGAGCGUCGGCUGGCGAGCUGAGCUGAAUGACAGCGCCGUGCCUCAGCAGUGUACAUACAAGACAAAAUGGGAAAUAUAUCCAGUUGACGCACUGUAGCUACAGCAUUUAGUGAAACGUGGCGGCAGACCAUUAGAGACCGGUUUAGAGAAGACCUCUUCCAUUCUAAACCAAGCUGUGACUGACGGAAGUGAACUUAGGACGGAAGGAGUUAGUGGUUUAGUCACGAAUGGCUUUCGACUCGGUUGGCGGCGACCGCGGCGGCGGUGAGGCUGCGUGGAUCAUGCAUCAGCAGAUGCAGUCUGAUCCCAAGUCUUCCUGGCCUUCCAGCUACAACUCGGACAACAGUCACUGGAACAACGGCAUGGAAUCUCAGUAUCCCGGCUACUCAAAUUAUUGGUAUCCCCAAUCGCACACGGCAGGACCUUACGGCAGCACAUACCCCCCUGGAACAGAGGUCAACGGACAGGCCUCAUACAAUCCCCAGGCAAUGUCAGCCUAUCCCAAUGGGGUGUACAAUCCAGGACAGUACUCCUCGAGUAUGCUACAUCCCUCCAACCCCUUCUACUGCAGUGAGCAGGUUCCUUCAAGACAACCUCAGUAUCACAGCCAGACCUGCCCUGAGCAAAAUGCAGGGGGUUCGGCUCCUCCCCCCUACCCUGUUCCUCACUGCCAAGGGGCCCCUGGCUACCCAGCAGGAUCAUACCCACACUAUGGAGAAGGAUGCCCUCCGAAUGCUCCCUACCCCAACCAGCAGCCCAUGCUCUCGAGACCCCAGCAUGAGGCCUGGACCCACUCUGGAGUGUACGGGCACACACCGCCCCAACAGCAAUGGCCGUCCAAUACCCAGACACCCCAUGGCCACUAUAACCAUGUACGACCACCUCACCCUCCACCGUGGCAAGGACCCGCACCACCUCCAUAUGAGCCCAAGGAUCCACCAUAUCACAGUCAGCUUCAUAUGCACCCUCGAAACCAGCCUCCAGGCUCCAAACCACGAGCCAGCACUCCAAACCCAACUCCACCUCCACCCAAAGCCACCCAGUUCAGCGCUCCGCCUCAAAUCUACAACAAGGCUCCCUCCGGAUGUGGAGGACCCGAGCCCAAACCAGCCCAGAAUGAACAACCUCCAACGUCUUCCCGCCAAGGGUCGUCCACUCCAGCCCCAUUAAGCGAUAAUCCCAGCCUGGCUCGAGUUCAGCAGGUUCUGGCCAGAGUUCAGCUCCUCCAAGAGGACGUGGAUGAGUUUGUAGGGAAAAAGAUGGACAAGAGCUACCGGUGCCUGGAGGAACUUUUGACAAAAGAGCUGCUGGAAUUGGACUCUGUGGAGACCAAAGGGCAGGACGUCGUUCGACAGGCUCGCAAAGAUGCUGUCCAGAGGAUCCAGGCCAUCUUGGACCACCUUGAGAAAAAGGCUUUCUAAUAACAGGGUGGAUUGAUUAUGAUGGUUCUGGUUGUUCUUUUUUUUCUUUCUUUUUAAUGAUAUCUUCUCAUGAUAACAGAUUAGAAUUUUCACAGUUGCCAGUUAGUUUGCCAGCAUUAACUCUGUGGUGUUUUGGGGUCGCGUACCCUACCGAUGGUAAUGUAUUAGUUGAAAUACAGGCGCAAAAUGUCCUAAUCAUUGCAGUGCCAUAUUCAAACCAGCCUUCUGACAUCCAGCAAAGAGCAGCAGUCUGACAUCUGCUCAGAAUUAAACAUAAGUCUCAUUGCAUAACACCAUCUUAAGACUUUCGUGUUUUUUUUUUUCUUGAGUCUAGGCAGACUGAAAGGAUAAAACAGAGCUAAUUCAACCACAUUUUAAUACUUCCAUUGGUUUUUGGUAGCACAACUUUUCAAGAUCAGAGCCUUUUGCACUUGGAAUGUUGUUAAGCACUGCUAUUACACCAAUACAUUCUUGAUUUUAUUGUAAAAUAUCUUGAUUUAUAAAUAAAAGAAGGUCAGUUUUUUGUAACUCACUCCAUUUAAUUUCACCCAUUUUCUGUUGUAUUGUGUAUUAGUUUUAUCACCAGUUUCAUUCAGUCACCUUCCUCAUGGAAAUUAGCCAAGUUUCAGCAUCAAAAAGGUCCAUUCUCCAAUGCAUGCAAUGCACGAAACACUGCUCACACAAGUCACUUUCAAACCAAGCAGCUCUCUGUUGAUUAAUGUGACAAAUUGCCAUUACACAAAAUUCCCAAUCUUGGAGAUUCCUAUUGAAAUUAUUGGAUUUCACUGGCAAAAUUUCAUAACCGUAAAUGUGACUGGACCUUAAGUGAUUACACAUGCCAGUUUUUGAUUCAGAUCAUGGUUCUGUCUCAUUACAAACCCACAUCUUGGAUGGAUCUCAGACCAACUCUCACACUGCAAUUGGAUCCAUAGUUCAUGUUUCAUUACUCUUUUUCCAGGCCUCAUCUGGAUUUUAAAGACCCCUUAAAUUAAGAAAUGGCAUUUUGUGGAUUUUAGACCAUAUUUGUUAGCUUUUGAGACCAUCUUCAUGCUAGUAUACUAUUAAAAGUUGACAAACCUUCAGUACCACUUGCCUCUAACAAGCAAUAGUGAGUAGCAAAUCAUGAUUUUCCAAGGCUGCGAUGUAUACUAGGCUAUUUUAUAAAAAGACAAACUCUUUGAUAUGUUUUGCCCCAACUUCGUUAUAAAAAAUUGCAUUCAUCAAACCACUGGAUGUAGUCUUUAAUGAUCAAUGAAGCCUUCAUCUGCUGUGGUCACUUCCUUUGAUUGUGCACCUGCAUCUCAGUUCAUUUUUUUAGUACAGGCCUUUGUGUUAACAUGAUUGUUUACAUCCUGCAGUUCGGAGGACUUUUGGCUAUUGUUUGUUUCCUUUGUGUGACUACUGAUCUGUAGCUGAUUCAAUGCAUCUGCGUCAGUGUCCAGGUGGCGGUAGCCAUCUGCGGGCCUGUAUACAGUCAAACAGGAGGCCUUUUUAAAAAAAUUAAUAAUGUACAGUUUAUAUCUGAAGGACUGGAGCAGGGAUGCGAAUUAUGGACAGAACAUCAGCACUUCUCCAUGGAAUAAAAGUUCCCUUUAACUUCACUACAUUUAAUCCUUUGCACCAAAGUCACUGACUGACAUCAUGGACCGUUCAACAGGUCUUCCUCCUACCACACAGAUUUCAUGUCUGUUUUGUAACCAGGAAAAACUGUGCCAUAAUAUCAGCAGGUGCUUUUUCAUACCACAACAGAGAAGUAUCUCAAAUACAAAAAAACUGCAAAUCAACUGAGCUCUGCAUGAAGCCUCGGAUUCCACGUUUAUCUUUACUGUAUGUGUUUUCGCUCUCUCUCUGUACAUUUUCUCUUAUGUAUACCUGAAAUUGUUUAUUAGAUUAAUCUUUACAGA